GUGCAGCACGAGGGGCUGCCAGAGCCUCUCACCCUGAGAUGGGAGUCGUCUUCCCAGCCCACCGUCCCUCUUGUGGGCAUUGUUGCUGGCCUGGUUGUCCUUGGAGCUGUGGUCACUGGAGCUGUGGUCGCUGCUGUGAUGUGGAGGAAGAAGAUCCUCAGAUAGAAACAGAGAGAGCUGCUCUCAGACUGCAACAGCUUCCUGUAGGUGGCGAUCUCGAUGUCCAGGGCCUGCUUGAUGUUCCUCAGCUCCUGAUACUGGCACAGAUGCCUCACCAUGUCCUGCUUUGCCCACUGUUGGGCGGCCUCCAGCAUGGACAGCUUGGCCUCAUUAAUUGCCAGCUCCUCAUGCUUCUUGGCAUCCAUGAUGACGGCCUGCAGGGGGCCCCACUGACUUUUGAGGCCCUCAAUCUCAGCCUGAAGCCAUCUGAGGUUCCUGAUGGCCCUCAAUCUCAGCCUGAAGUCAUAUCUGAGAUCUCCGUCUUCAUGUGACAAAGGUCAUCCCAUGUUUCCUAGCCAGAGCCUGCUGCUCCUCCUACUUGAUCUGAUGCAGGCUCUCAGCCUCAGCCUGGCUGCGGUUGGCGAUCUCCUCUUAUUGGGCCUUAACCUCAGUGAUGAUGCUAUUCAUGUCCUGGGAGCAGAUAUUGUCCAUGGACAGUGUAAGGCCAGUCGCCUCGCUGGGAGCUCGGACACCCCCUACUUUUUUCUCUGAGAGCUUGGACACAUUCACCCCUUCGCACAGCCUAGCCUUCCCUUAAAAACCUCGCCAGUAUGCAAAUGAAGUCUUGUAACUCUAGCCAAUAGCAGUCAAGUCUUGUAUGCAAACGAAGUCUUGUAACUCUAGCCAAUACAGUCAAAUCUUGUAUGCAAAUGAAGUCUUAUAACUCUAGCCAAUAGCAGUCGAGUCCUGUAUGCAAACAAAGUCUUGUAACCCUACCCAAUAGCAGUUCUGUCUUUCCCACACCCUGGACUCCCACAACCAAUCGAACGCCUUCACUCCCUAUAAAACCCCAUGUCUGAGAGGAGUCUGUGUGACUUCUCCACCCGCCCCCCCCCAUCAGACCGCAGAACCUCGCCCGGGAGCCGAAUAAAUUCUUCACAUUGGAUCUUCUUGUGCUGGUCUCAGUUUCUUUCUUUUAAACUCAGCAAGAACCUAACAAACUGUCAGAUCGGGGUCUGCAGCUCCCGGAUCUCCUGUUCACACAGCUGCCAGAGGAAGUUGGUCUCAUCAGUCAGCCCUUCCAGGUGACACUCCAGCUCUACCUGGUUCAUGUCAGCUUCAUCCUUAUCCUUCUUUAUGAGGAGAAAUUCAUUCUCCAUCUUUGUAUGAUUAUUGAUCUCAUCCUCGUAUUUGUUAUUGAAGUCUUCCACCAGCCCCUGUGUGCUGCCGAAGGUUGAUGUGGCUCUCAAUCAUGUGGUCCAUGUUCCUCUGAAACGUCUUCUGCUGUUUUAGGAGGCUCCACUUGGUCUCCAUCAUCUUGUUCUACCACUCAAGGAACUGUACCCUGUUGAUGAAGGAGGCAAAUUUGUUGUUGAGGUUCUUGAUCUGCUCCUUCUCCUGUGUGCACAUGGCCUGGGUGUUGGGGUUCACCUCUAGCUUAAAGGGGCUCAGCAGGGUCUUGUUAAACAUGAUGGGUAUGAUGCCCCCAUUCCACAAGCCCUGCCACAGCCUUCUCACAGACCCUUGCCAUGCCCAAGCCACCCCCAAAGCUGCUUCCACUGCUACCCACUUAGGAGAAGCUUGAGGAGCUGAUGUGGGUGUCAGGCCACUCAUGUAGGAGCAGCUGCUGAAGACCUGGGGGCCAGAGUGGAAUACCUUGUAGCACUUCUGGGUCACCCUGAUGGACAUGGUGGGGAAAGUGUGCUGAGCCAGGCAGAGAUGCAAGAAGGAGCAGAGAAGCUGCUGCUAGGUCUUGAAGAAAGAUUUGAAGGACAUGAGGGAUAUCUAUGAGGAUGUCUAUGAAAGUUCUUUCCAGGAAGGGAGGCUCCCGUGCAAAUGCACUAGGGCAGGAAAGUGUCUGUGUUCUGGGAAGUGGGAAGAGGCCAGAAGGGCUGGACAGAGUAACUGAGAUGAGUUUUGAGGUGUGGCCAGAGCAGACAGGCCUGGAGGGUGUGGGCAGGGUUUUCUCUUUUGCUCUGAGUGAGAUGGGGAGUUACAGGACAGGUUUGAAAAGUAGGACAUGGCAGGACUUAUUCUUUAAAAGCUUCUCACUGUCUGCUCUACUGAAAGCAGAAUUGAGAGGUGGUGACAAGUGAGGCAGUAGAGAAAACAGUGGGAAAGGUAUGUAGCAUUUCAGGAUAGAUAUAUCAGUUACCUAGACCUGGGUGGCAGCAGUGGAAAUAAUGAGAAGUGAUGGGAUUGUGGCUGCAUCAUAGCAUUUGUUAAUAAAUUGUAUCUGUGAUCUGAGAAAGAAGAAUCAAGGACCGCCAUAGUUUUAGACUGUGAGUGUAGAAGGGAGGAGCUGCUGUCAGUGGAGAUGGGGAGACUCUGGCAGGAGCAUACGGAGGAGAGGGCAUCGCAGGAAUUCAGUGGAGGAGACAUCUAUGAGGAGUGCAGGUGAGGGGCCAAGAUCCCUCUGCAGCUACAGCUUCACCAUCCAGUUACUCUCUGGCUUCCACCCCACUUUCCCCCAGUGUCUCAGGUGUCUCAGAGCCAGAGCACCAAUUCUCUCUUGGGCUAUUUACACAGGUGUGUGAAAGGGAA
rnacentral:lncRNA from 1 species